UAGUGAGACCUAAUCCAUUUAGAAAUCGAAAACAAUGAAAAUUGUCAAUAGAAACUAAAUUGGUCUAACCUAGGUCGUUCGAGAUUGGUAGACAUCUUUCAAAGUAUUAUUCGGCUUCGUUCAAAACCAUAUAUAAUAAAUGGAAAAAGACAGCACCUAAUUGUCAAAGUUAGACUGCUGGAUGAAGUUCCAGCCAGAACCUUGAAAACUGCAUAAGAGAACAAGAAAAAGCAGGCAGACACAGACAUUUAGAUGGAUGUGGAAGCAAAAGAAAUUGU
rnacentral:misc_RNA from 1 species